GCAGACCCAGGUUGCUCAAACUCCAAACAUUCCCAAGAAAAGCAUGUCUUCAGGACUGGCCCUUGGCUGGCUCCUAGGAAAUGAACUCUGAACCCUAGGAAUAUUAUGCCUGUAAACACUCCACAAUGCCAGGAAGAAUUUCCUAUAAUGGCUGUGCCACUACUCUGCUUGAAAAUCGUCACUGACUUCGCCUCAUCUGUGAAGAGUCCAUCCUUCCCACCAUGACAUACAAAAGCCUGAGUGAUCUGGUUCCAGCCCAUUCCUGUGGGUUUGUCUCCUGUUAUUCCCUACCUUGUGUUCUAGCCAUUUUGAAUUAUCUCAAGUGCCUGGAAUGGGCAUAUUUCUCAGGUGCCUGUGCCUUUACAUAAACUUUACUCUCUACCUAGAAUGCUCUUUCCUCUGCCUGGUCCUGGAAUCAGACAGAUUUGCAUACAAGUUCAGA
rnacentral:lncRNA from 10 species